ensembl:snoRNA
CUUCUGCUGAUGAUAACCUUGUCCAGUUCUGCUACUGAGACUGUACGAUGAUAUUCCUUAAUCUGAAGAAG